GAUGAACGCUGGCGGCGUGCCUAAUACAUGCAAGUCGAGCGAACAGACGAGGAGCUUGCUCCUCUGACGUUAGCGGCGGACGGGUGAGUAACACGUGGAUAACCUACCUAUAAGACUGGGAUAACUUCGGGAAACCGGAACUAAUACCGGAUAAUAUAUUGAACCGCAUGGUUCAAUAGUGAAAGACGGUUUUGCUGUCACUUAUAGAUGGAUCCGCGCCGCAUUAGCUAGUUGGUAAGGUAACGGCUUACCAAGGCAACGAUGCGUAGCCGACCUGAGAGGGUGAUCGGCCACACUGGAACUGAGACACGGUCCAGACUCCUACGGGAGGCAGCAGUAGUGAAUCUUCCGCAAUGGGCGAAAGCCUGACGGAGCAACGCCGCGUGAGUGAUGAAGGUCUUCGGAUCGUAAAACUCUGUUAUUAGGGAAGAACAAAUGUGUAAGUAACUAUGCACGUCUUGACGGUACCUAAUCAGAAAGCCACGGCUAACUACGUG
rnacentral:rRNA from 1 species